AUUGAACGCUGGCGGCAUGCCUUACACAUGCAAGUCGAACGCGAAAGGGGGGCAACCCCCGAGUAGAGUGGCGGACGGGUGAGUAAUACAUCGGAACGUACCCAGUAGUGGGGGACAGCCUCGAGGAAUCGAGGCUAAUACCGCAUACGACCCACGGGUGAAAGCGGGGGACCGCAAGGCCUCGCGCCAUUGGAGCGGCCGAUGUCCGAUUAGCUAGUUGGUGGGGUAAGAGCCCACCAAGGCGACGAUCGGUAGCUGGUCUGAGAGGACGACCAGCCACACUGGGACUGAGACACGGCCCAGACUCCUACGGGAGGCAGCAGUGGGGAAUUUUGGACAAUGGGGCAACCCUGAUCCAGCCAUGCCGCGUGCGGGAAGAAGGCCUUCGGGUUGUAAACCGCUUUCGGCCGGAACGAAAUCGCCGGGGAGAACAUCCCCGGUGGAUGACGGUACCGGAAGAAGAAGCACCGGCUAACUACGUGCCAGCCGCCGCUGUAAUAC
rnacentral:rRNA from 1 species